GCGGGAGGUGCGGACAGCAGCCAGCACAGGUGUGCAGUCAUGCCAGCUCCCACCGUGGGCACGGUUCCACAGGAGGGCCCUGGAAACCCCAGUUUGCAGAACCAGCCCACCCCAGGGUGAGGGAGUGGGGGUAUUUGUACACCAGUUACUGAACAUCUCUGAAUGAGGACUGCUCCUGGGGUCGCUAGUACCCGUCCUUCAGGCUGUGUGCACAUGCGCCCUCAGGCUUGGGUGCAGAUGCUGGAAGUCUGCUUCCCGCUCUGAGAGGUCAGGGUUACAGGCAGGGCACAGGGUUACAACACCUGCUGCGGGUAGGAAUGUGCUCGAAGGCACCGCAGAGGUGAACCGACCGCUUGUGGUGGGACCCAGCUCUCUGGACAUGACCCUGGGAAGAGUCACCUUCCCUUUAGCCUCGGGGAGCCACUGAGACUUGGGCAAUCCACGGAAAACUGCCGAGGGGGUGGUGGCUGUGGUGUGCAGACAGAGGGCAAGAAUCCACUCUCCAGCCAGCCCACAGCUCUGACACUGAGCCGCUCCCGCCACCACUGGCAGACAUCGGCCUGGACUCCCAGGACAGGAAUGGUGGGGCGACCUGCCCUUCCAGCAGGCUGCAGCCCCCAAGCAAGGGGACUGGUCCAGGGACCCACACCAGCCCCUCACUCCCCACCCCGAGAUGCUGGGAAAAGCCUUGGUGGCUGGUCAGUUUACUAACUAGCCUUUGGGAUUUGGGCAAUCAGCCUUGUAGUCACAGAAUGGCGAGUUCUGUGAAUGUAGGUCACACACGCGCUUCCGCACUCACGCAAACCAAUUAUUCAUCGGAGUGCGAGAGUCUGCUCUCAACAUUCACAUAUUUUUGGAAAGUUUAAAUUUUCCGGCUGUGCUGAGUGAAGUCGUGCCUGUUGCACAAGGGAUGGGCGCUGGGGGUGAAGUCACUAAAGCUCAUGCGAAAUUGAGCGGGAACGCCCACUUAGGGGUUUUAUUUAGACACAGCCCAGCGUUCCCAUCAUCGCUUUCUGGAACCCACCAUAAGUUUCAGAAAUCAACCUGAGGAGGAGGCAGGGGCCUGGAACUCAGCCACGUUCUUAAGGUGGUGGUGGAAGCCCCUUCAUGCCUCCUCCUUUCUCCUCUCCCACCUCCCUUCAAGGCCGGUUCUGGUACAGGUGGUCCAUCGGGAGACGGGGAGUUGCAGUGGGCAGCCUCGGGCAAGUGACUGAUUUCUUAGUGUCCCAUCUGCGAAGUGGGCGGAACAGUGCUCCCGCGACAGCUGGCUCAUAGAUGUGCCAGAGGACUUCACAAAGUUCGUGGAAAUUUCAAUUAAAGUACAAGUUUAUUUUGGUGCAAAACAUUUGGAAAUCCAUAAACUUGUUGCGAUCUCCUCAGGUAUCUGCAUUUUUUUACAGUCGCCUCGUAUUGCAGUUCUUCACUAUUUUAAAACAGAACUACAUACAGUUCUCAGCACCAUGACUGUGUCCCUAUGCACGCCGGAUCAUUUGUAGGGUGUCUUUCUCACAGUGGAAUUUCUGGGUCAAAGUAUGCAUUAUUUUAAUAUUUGGAUUCUUCCAAAAUGUCCUCCUAAAGAGGCCCCGUGCCGCUUUAAUGUCUCCAGCAGUCACGGACCAAGCUUGAUACUUCCCGACGUCUUUCCCAAAUUAAAGUUGUAUUUUUUUCCAUUUUUGAUUAAAAAAACACA